rnacentral:rRNA from 1 species
UGGGGAAUUUUGGACAAUGGGCGCAAGCCUGAUCCAGCCAUGCCGCGUGCGGGAAGAAGGCCUUCGGGUUGUAAACCGCUUUUGUCAGGGAAGAAAUCUUCUGGGCUAACACCCCGGGAGGAUGACGGUACCUGAAGAAUAAGCACCGGCUAACUACGUGCCAGCAGCCGCGGUAAUACGUAGGGUGCAAGCGUUAAUCGGAAUUACUGGGCGUAAAGCGUGCGCAGGCGGUUGUGCAAGACAGGUGUGA